GGACUACUGGGGUAUCUAAUCCCGUUUGCUCCCCUGGCUUUCGCGUCUCAGCGUCAGAAAACGUCCAGGACCUCGCUUUCGCCACGGGCGUUCCUUCCGAUCUCAACGCAUUUCACCGCUCCACCGGAAGUUCCAGGUCCCCCUACGUUCCUCCAGGAAGGUCGUAUCGGCGCCACUUCCCCGGUUGAGCCGGGGGAUUUCAACGACCGACGUGCCCUCCCGCCUACACGCGCUUUAAGCCCAGUGAUUCCGAAUAACGUUCGCACGGUUCGUCUUACCGCGGCUGCUGGCAC
rnacentral:rRNA from 1 species